rnacentral:snRNA from 1 species
AUCGUUUCUCGGCUAUUGGCUAAGAUCAAAGUGUAGUACCUGUUCUUAUCAUAAAGUGCCAAACUUCCCGAUAUAUAUAUAUAUAUAUAUAUAUAUAUAUAUAUAUA